rnacentral:rRNA from 1 species
AGCGAACGUUAGCGGCGGGCCUAACACAUGCAAGUCGAGCGAUAAAAGGGCUUCGGCCCCGAGUAAAGCGGCGGACGGGUGAGUAACACGUAGGUAAUCUUCCCUUGAGCGGGGGACAACGAGCCGAAAGGCUCGCUAAUACCGCAUACGUUUCUCGGGACUCCGGUCCUGGGAAGGAAAGCUAGGCCGCAAGGUCCGGCACUCGAGGAGGAGCCUGCGUCGCAUCAGCUAGUUGGUGGGGUAACGGCCUACCAAGGCGAAGACGCGUAGCUGGUCUGAGAGGAUGAUGAGCCACACUGAAACUGAGACACGGUUCAGACUCCUACGGGAGGCAGCAGUGGGGAAGAUUGGACAAUGGGCGCAAGCCUGAUCCAGCCACGCCGCGUGAGUGAUGAAGGCCUUCGGGUCGUAAAGCUCUGUGGGGAGGGACGAACCGCCGUUGGUGCAUAGCCAACGGCAUGACGGUACCUCCUUAGCAAGCACCGGCUAACUUCGUGCCAGCCGCCGCCGUAAGAC